GAAUAGAUGAAUGAGGCAUCACCAUUUAUAUACAGGAUUCCUCUCUUCUAGUUAGGUGUUUACCUCUCAACACACAUGAACUGAUGCGAUUAAAAACCAUCACCAGUAGGGAAAAUCUAUCUUCUCUUAAAACUCAUAUAGCCAUCCACCAACUUAACAAAUAACACAAGCAUUUGGAUUUUCCUCCAUGCUUUGAACAUAGUAAUACGUGGUCAGCUGAGGAUUGUAAGCUUUGUAGGCCUUGACCAGCUCUAAAACUGGG
rnacentral:misc_RNA from 1 species